rnacentral:rRNA from 1 species
AGGGCUCUGAUUUGCUUAUUGCACCACAUGUGUUUUUCUUUGAAACAAACUUGCUUUGGCGGUGGGCCCAGCCUGCCGCCAGAGGUCUAAACUUACAACCAAUUUUUUAUCAACUUGUCACACCAGAUUAUUACUAAUAGUCAAAACUUUCAACAACGGAUCUCUUGGUUCUCGCAUCGAUGAAGAACGCAGCGAAAUGCGAUACGUAAUAUGAAUUGCAGAUAUUCGUGAAUCAUCGAAUCUUUGAACGCACAUUGCGCCCUCUGGUAUUCCGGAGGGCAUGCCUGUUUGAGCGUCGUUUCUCCCUCAAACCGCUGGGUUUGGUGUUGAGCAAUACGACUUGGGUUUGCUUGAAAGACGGUAGUGGUAAGGCGGGAUCGCUUUGACAAUGGCUUAGGUCUAACCAAAAACAUUGUUUGCGGCGGUAACGUCCACCACGUAUAUCUUCAAACUUUGACCUCAAAUCAGGUAGGACUACCCGCUGAACUUAAGCAUAUCAAUAAGCGGAGGAA